CUCUGUCCAUCUCAGUCCAACACCGGCACCUCCACAUCAUGACCAGCUUUUCCAGGCAGUGUAUUCCAAAUAGCAGUGUGUGCCCUCCAUACCAGGCAACACCCUGGUGAGCGUCCUCUGCAUCCUCUCCAAAGCAUGGACACAAGUCUUUUGAUGAUGGGUGAGCAACAGAUUCACUGGAGCCUGCAAGGAGGCAGCUCGGAUCAAACCAUAGGGUUAUCGCUGACUAGAAGGAAGCAAUGGUGCAUCUCUACAGCCCUGAAUGUGACUGAGCAGCUCUACACUUAUCCAUGCUGCUAACCUACCUGGUAAUUUACCGCAUGCAUAAGCGCAGUCACUGGCCUGAAUUUCCAGGAUGUCUAGGAUUGACAUUGAAAAAGGAUGACACGAUUGCCAAAUGAACUGAAAUCUACGAACAAAAUGUUGACUGUGAAGAAGCACAUCUUAGAAGUGUAAUGAAGCG